AGUGGCGGACGGGUGAGUAACGCGUGAGAAUCUGCCUUGGGGUCGGGGACAACCACUGGAAACGGUGGCUAAUACCGGAUAAGCCGAUUGGUGAAAGAUUUAUUGCCCGAAGAGGAGCUCGCGUCUGAUUAGCUAGUUGGUGAGGUAAGAGCUCACCAAGGCAGCGAUCAGUAGCUGGUCUGAGAGGACGAUCAGCCACACUGGGACUGAGACACGGCCCAGACUCCUACGGGAGGCAGCAGUGGGGAAUUUUCCGCAAUGGGCGAAAGCCUGACGGAGCAAGACCGCGUGAGGGAGGAAGGCUCUUGGGUUGUAAACCUCUUUUCUCAGGGAAGAGGCUCUGACGGUACCUGAGGAAUCAGCCUCGGCUAACUCCGUGCCAGCAGCCGCGGUAAUACGGAGGAGGCAAGCGUUAUCCGGAAUUAUUGGGCGUAAAGCGUCCGCAGGUGGCGAUUCAAGUCUGCUGUCAAAGCACGGGGCUUAACUCCGUAAAGGCAGUGGAAACUGAAUAGCUAGAGUGCCGUAGGGGUAGAGGGAAUUCCCGGUGUAGCGGUGAAAUGCGUAGAGAUCGGGAAGAACAUCGGUGGCGAAAGCGCUCUACUGGACGGCAACUGACACUCAGGGACGAAAGCUAGGGGAGCGAAUGGGAUUAGAUACCCC
rnacentral:rRNA from 1 species